CCAGACUCCUACGGGAGGCAGCAGUGAGGAAUAUUGGUCAAUGGUCGCGAGACUGAACCAGCCAAGUAGCGUGCAGGAUGACGGCCCUAUGGGUUGUAAACUGCUUUUAUGCGGGGAUAAAAUGCGUCACGUGUGAUGUUUUGUAGGUACCGCAUGAAUAAGGACCGGCUAAUUCCGUGCCAGCAGCCGCGGUAAUACGGAGGAUCCGAGCGUUAUCCGGAUUUAUUGGGUUUAAAGGGAGCGUAGAUGGGUUGUUAAGUCAGUUGUGAAAGUUUGCGGCUCAACCGUAAAAUUGCAAUUGAUACUGGCAGUCUUGAGUACAGUUGAGGUAGGCGGAAUUCGUGGUGUAGCGGUGAAAUGCAUAGAUAUCACGCAGAACUCCGAUUGCGAAGGCAGCAUACCGGCGCUCAACUGACGCUGAGGCACGAAAGCGUGGGGAUCGAACAGGAUUAGAUACCCCCGUAGCC
rnacentral:rRNA from 1 species